GGAAAAAGAGCUUGUCAAGUUAGCCAAGGUGACUGCCUGAGAACCCAAAUAGGUUUUAAUUGAUAACUAAUUAAACCUGUUUUAGGAGGCAGGCAAGUCAUCCUUGGCUACCAAACGAGACUCCUUUUU
rnacentral:pre_miRNA from 1 species